CAGGCCUAACACAUGCAAGUCGAGCGGUAGAGAGAAGCUUGCUUCUCUUGAGAGCGGCGGACGGGUGAGUAAUGCCUAGGAAUCUGCCUGGUAGUGGGGGAUAACGUUCGGAAACGGACGCUAAUACCGCAUACGUCCUACGGGAGAAAGCAGGGGACCUUCGGGCCUUGCGCUAUCAGAUGAGCCUAGGUCGGAUUAGCUAGUUGGUGAGGUAAUGGCUCACCAAGGCGACGAUCCGUAACUGGUCUGAGAGGAUGAUCAGUCACACUGGAACUGAGACACGGUCCAGACUCCUACGGGAGGCAGCAGUGGGGAAUAUUGGACAAUGGGCGAAAGCCUGAUCCAGCCAUGCCGCGUGUGUGAAGAAGGUCUUCGGAUUGUAAAGCACUUUAAGUUGGGAGGAAGGGCAGUUACCUAAUACGUGAUUGUUUUGACGUUACCGACAGAAUAAGCACCGGCUAACUCUGUGCCAGCAGCCGCGGUAAUACAGAGGGUGCAAGCGUUAAUCGGAAUUACUGGGCGUAAAGCGCGCGUAGGUGGUUAGUUAAGUUGGAUGUGAAAUCCCCGGGCUCAACCUGGGAACUGCAUUCAAAACUGACUGACUAGAGUAUGGUAGAGGGUGGUGGAAUUUCCUGUGUAGCGGUGAAAUGCGUAGAUAUAGGAAGGAACACCAGUGGCGAAGGCGACCACCUGGACUG
rnacentral:rRNA from 1 species